rnacentral:rRNA from 1 species
UACGUAGGGUGCAAGCGUUGUCCGGAAUCAUUGGGCGUAAAGCGCGCGUAGGUGGCUUCGUAAGUCCGUUGUGAAAGUCAAAGGCUCAACCUUUGAAUGCCGAUGGAUACUGCGAAGCUAGAGUACGGAAGAGGCGAGUGGAAUUCCUGGUGUAGCGGUGGAAUGCGCAGAUAUCAGGAGGAACACCAAUAGCGAAGGCAGCUCGCUGGGACGUACUGACACUAAGGCGCGAAAGCGUGGGGAGCGAACAGG